rnacentral:lncRNA from 10 species
CUGAUUCUGUCCCCACCUUCCAGUGACUUUGCACCUGCCCUUGUUCAGGCCUUAUCAUCUUUCAGAAGGACCACUGGUCCUUCCAAGCCAUUCCCCAUAUGGCAGCUAGAGUGGUCUCUGGGAAAGGAAGGGGCCACAUCACACCUCUGUUCAAAACCAUCCAUGGCUCUUGUCCCAGGGCUCUCCUUCUAAAAGCCCAGUUCUUCUACACUCCCCAGCAACACUCAGGGGCUUUGCAAGUCUCCCUUCCCACCUACCGACCCUCCCAUACUAUUUUCCACCUUUGUGCCUUUGCUGAUGCUGUUCCCUCUUCACCUUGGCUUCCUCAGUAACUGCCACUUCCUAAGAUUCCAGCCAGCCUCCCUUGCUGCCCUAGGCUAGGUUAGGGCCCUCCACUUCUCCCUCUUGCAACACUUGCCCCUGCAGUAGUAAUAAUAGGUGACACUGAUGGAGUGCUAACUCCAUGCAUUUUUCUUUAUUGGCCCAUUUAUUCCUCCUCAUAAGCAUUCUCUGAGGCAGGUUCUAUGGUUACCUGCAUUUUUCAGAUAGGUUAACAGGUUAAGGGGAAUGCUUGCAGUCACACUGUUUGGGGACUGGAACCCAGGCCAGCUGCCUCCAGAAAGCUGGCUUCUAAUUCCAACAUGUUGCCUCCUGCCGCAGGUGAAGACUUUAUUUUUUCAACAGAUGACAUCCACCGUUGUAUCCUGAACCGGGGAAUGUCAGUUGUAAGAGCCGGCAGUCUCUGUACCCACCACCUCCAUUGUAGAGAUGGGGCCGCAGCAGCUCAGAGACGGUGCGGACCGUGUCGAUCACACAGCGCAUGAGAGGGAGGGGCGGGGUGAGAAACCCGGUUUGAACCUCACAGCACCCCACCAUCACCUCCUGCCUUGGAGCCGAAACCGGGUUUGGGCAUGGGGGAGGGGCAGUUGCUGUGGGAAGAAAACAAACACCCCUGCGCUCCGGUCUGCAGGCGCCAGCUGCCAAGAUGGCAAGGAGACUGACUGCCUGAGUGCAGACCCGAGGCAGGGGCUUCCUGUCUGCGAGGAGGCCCUGGUGGCUGUUCUCCCACUGCCCACACCCUUCUGGUCUCCAUCAGUGACUGGUACAGCGCCGUGGCCCUGUUGCCAGCCUUCAUAAGAGGUGUGGAGGUGGUAACCUCCCUCCACCCACCCUCACCCUAGUAAGCGGACAGCCAGGAUCCCAACCAGACAGUUUUGCCCCAGUGCUGGGCCUCCUCUCUCCCCGGCCCCCCAGUUCUCAGGGGAGGCCCGGCUUUCCUGGGGAAUAAAGCCCCUUUCUAUUUUC